GACGAACGCUGGCGGCGUGCUUAACACAUGCAAGUCGAACGAAGUGGCGAACGGGUGAGUAACGCGUAAUCAACCUGCCCUUCAGAGGGGGAUAACAGUUGGAAACGACUGCUAAUACCGCAUACUGAAGGAGGGGAUUGCGUCUGAUUCGCUAGUUGGAGGGGUAACGGCCCACCAAGGCGAUGAUCAGUAGCCGGUCGGAGGGGUUGACGGGCCACAUUGGGACUGAGACACGGCCCAGGCUCCUACGGGGGGCAGCAGGGGGGAACUUUCCGCAAUGGACGAAAGUCUGACGGGGCAACGCCGCGUGGGUGAGGACGGCCUUCGGGUUGUAAAGCUCUGUUAUUCGGGAGGCGGUACCGAAGUAGAAGGCCACGGCUAACUACGUGCAAGCGGCCGCGGUAAUU
rnacentral:rRNA from 1 species